rnacentral:rRNA from 1 species
UACGGAGGGUGCAAACGUUGCUCGGAAUCAUUGGGCGUAAAGCGCACGUAGGCGGCCUGUUAAGUCGGGUGUGAAAGCCCUGGGCUCAACCCAGGAAGUGCACUCGAAACUGGCGGGCUUGAAUAUGGAAGAGGGUCGCGGAAUUCCCGGUGUAGAGGUGAAAUUCGUAGAUAUCGGGAGGAACACCAGUGGCGAAGGCG